UGAAAACAGUGACGUAGUAUCCUAGUCAGUACAUGCAAUUCCCAAGACGGGCCUAAAAAUCCGUAGACGGGCAUAUCGAUGAAGUCUCUGGUGUUUGCUUCUUACGCCCAGUUUGGGGUGGAUGCUGGAGGUUAAGGCUUGCGGGCGCGCUUCAAUGGCAUGAAGUACCGACCCUCUCGCCGUGGAGACCCGUGACUGUCGGACACCUAUAGCAUCCCUUUGGGGUUGAUGGAUGUCCAACGGCACGGGAUGAAACCUGCAAUGCGGUGCGGAUGACCCUGUGAGGAAUUGAUCCCCCUCGCGCUGUUCAGAAACGCUGUGUGCAGUGUAGCCUGCCUUGAGUGGCCAUGGUGAAUAUCGUAUCCGCCUGCGGUUUCCCGGCCAGGAAUGCCGCGGGAAUUGACGGUUGAAACCAUGUCUGCAAAAGAGGCUAAGAAUUGUGUUGACUGCUGUGGAAAUCACCUAGGCUAUUCGUUUACGAGGCAGGCCGUGGAUUGCAGUGCGGACUCAGUGGCAAUUCGGUCCCGGUGAUGGCAACAUCCCGGCACGGACUUUAAUGGGAAACCCCCACGGCGGCGACGCGUGGCAGUUCGCGGGGAAAUCCAACCGAACCUCAAGCCGCAAGAUUUACUCGGCCUGCCGUCACUGCCUUUUAU
rnacentral:sRNA from 1 species